GACGAACGCUGGCGGCGUGCCUAAUACAUGCAAGUCGAGCGGAUCUUCAUUAGCUUGCUUUUGAAGAUCAGCGGCGGACGAGUGAGUAACACGUGGGCAACCUGCCUGUAAGACUGGGAUAACUUCGGGAAACCGGAGCUAAUACCGGAUAAUCCUUUUCCUCUCAUGAGGAAAAGCUGAAAGACGGUUUCGGCUGUCACUUACAGAUGGGCCCGCGGCGCAUUAGCUAGUUGGUGAGGUAACGGCUCACCAAGGCGACGAUGCGUAGCCGACCUGAGAGGGUGAUCGGCCACACUGGGACUGAGACACGGCCCAGACUCCUACGGGAGGCAGCAGUAGGGAAUCUUCCGCAAUGGACGAAAGUCUGACGGAGCAACGCCGCGUGAGCGAUGAAGGCCUUCGGGUCGUAAAGCUCUGUUGUCAGGGAAGAACAAGUACCGGAGUAACUGCCGGUACCUUGACGGUACCUGACCAGAAAGCCACGGCUAACUACGUGCCAGCAGCCGCAGUAAAAC
rnacentral:rRNA from 1 species